rnacentral:rRNA from 1 species
UACAGAGGUCUCAAGCGUUGUUCGGAUUCAUUGGGCGUAAAGGGCGCGUAGGCGGCGCGGUAAGUCGGGUGUGAAAUCUUGGAGCUUAACUCCGAAACUGCAUUCGAUACUGCCGUGCUUGAGGACUGGAGAGGAGACUGGAAUUUACGGUGUAGCGGUGAAAUGCGUAGAUAUCGUAAGGAAGACCAGUGGCGAAGGCGGGUCUCUGGACAGUUCCUGACGCUGAGGCACGAAGGCCAGGGGAGCAAACGGG